GAGGUUGAAGAAAGAAGAGAGGACACCGAUUAAGAGCAAGAGGGAAGAAUCAGAAAAUGGAAGAAGUAUGAAUUGCCAAGUCCAAUCUGACCCACAGUGGGCUUUUUGUUAUGAUUUUAAGAAAUGCUUGCCCUGUUAUGAACCACAGUUUGUUGGUCUCCUAUCAGCAACACUGAAGUUUACCUAAACCA